AUGCUCGCUUUCCGUGAUACUUUGGAGAUCUGUGGCCUAGUUGACCUAGGUUUUGUUGGGACCCCCUUUACGUAUGAUAAUAAGAGGGGCGGAGGAGGCAAUGUGAAGGUGAGGCUUGAAAGGGCAAUGGCAAAUAACGCAUGGAGGAAUUUGUUUGCUUAUGCUUCGAUACUACAUGUGCCAUCGCCUUGCUCGGAUCAUGUGGUACUUGUUUUGAAGGGGUCGGCUGAUCUAGGGCCGAAUGGGGGGAAGCAGAGGAGAUAUGAACUGUUUUGGGAGAGGGACGGAUCUUUACCGGAGGUGAUCAAGGGGGCUUGGGAGGCUGCGGGAGGUGUACACAACAUGGCGCAGCUGAGAGAUGCGCUAACUAAAACGAAGAUAGCCUUGCGACUUUGGAGUAAA
rnacentral:rRNA from 1 species